AGAGUUUGAUCAUGGCUCAGAAUCAACGCUGGCGGCGUGCCUAACACAUGCAAGUCGAACGAGAAAGGGUAGCAAUACCUGAGUAAAGUGGCGCACGGGUGAGUAACACGUGACUAACCUACCCUGGAGUGGGGGAUAACUGAGGGAAACCUUAGCUAAUACCGCAUAACACCUACGGGUCAAAGGAGCAAUUCGCUUCAGGAGGGGGUCGCGGCCGAUUAGUUAGUUGGCGGGGUAAUGGCCCACCAAGACUGUGAUCGGUAUCCGGCCUGAGAGGGCGCACGGACACACUGGAACUGAAACACGGUCCAGACUCCUACGGGAGGCAGCAGUGGGGAAUUUUGCGCAAUGGGGGAAACCCUGACGCAGCAACGCCGCGUGGAGGAUGAAGUACUUCGGUACGUAAACUCCUUUCGAUCGGGACGAUUAUGACGGUACCGGAAGAAGAAGCCCCGGCUAACUUCGUGCCAGCAGCCGCGGUAAUACGAGGGGGGCAAGCGUUGUUCGGAAUUAUUGGGCGUAAAGGGUGCGUAGGCGGUUUUGUAAGUCUUGUGUGAAAUCUUCAGGCUCAACUUGAAGACUGCACGAGAAACUGCAGGGCUUGAGUGUGGGAGAGGUGAGUGGAAUUCCUGGUGCAGCGGUGAAAUGCGUAGAUAUCAGGAGGAACACCUGUGGCGAAAGCGGCUCACUGGACCACAACUGACGCUGAUGCACGAAAGCUAGGGGAGCAAACAGGAUUAGAUACCCUAGUAGUCC
rnacentral:rRNA from 1 species